rnacentral:tRNA from 1 species
GUCUGGGUGGUGUAGUUGAUUAUCACGUUAGUCUCACACACUAAAGGUCCCCCGUUCGAACCUGGGCUCAGACA